rnacentral:rRNA from 1 species
UACGUAGGGACCGAGCGUUGUCCGGAAUUAUUGGGCGUAAAGCGCGUGUAGGCGGCUUUGCAAGUCGGGUGUGAAAGCCCUCAGCUCAACUGAGGAAGUGCGCCCGAAACUGCAGAGCUUGAGAACCGGAGAGGAUGGCGGAAUUCCCGAAGUAGAGGUGAAAUUCGUAGAUAUCGGGAGGAACACCGGUGGCGAAGGCGGCCAUCUGGACGGAUUCUGACGCUGAGACGCGAAAGCGUGGGUAGCAAACAGG